rnacentral:rRNA from 1 species
CUACGUGCCAGCAGCCGCGGUAAUACGGAAGGUCCGGGCGUUAUCCGGAUUUAUUGGGUUUAAAGGGAGUGUAGGCGGUCUGUUAAGCGUGUUGUGAAAUUUAGGUGCUCAACAUUUAACUUGCAGCGCGAACUGUCAGACUUGAGUACACGCAGCGCAGGCGGAAUUCAUGGUGUAGCGGUGAAAUGCUUAGAUAUCAUGAGGAACUCCGAUCGCGAAGGCAGCCUGCGGGAGUGUUACUGACGCUUAAGCUCGAAGGUGCGGGUAUCGAACAGGAUUAGAUACCCUGGUAGUCCGCMCAGUAAACGAUGGAUGCCCGCUGUUGGUACCUGGUAUCAGCGGCUAAGCGAAAGCAUUAAGCAUCCCACCUGGGGAGUACGCCGGCAACGGUGAAACUCAAAGGAAUUGACGGGGGCCCGCACAAGCGGAGGAACAUGUGGUUUAAUUCGAUGAUACGCGAGGAACCUUACCCGGGCUUGAA